rnacentral:rRNA from 1 species
AUUGAACGCUGGCGGCAGGCCUAACACAUGCAAGUCGAACGAGUGGCGGACGGGUGAGUAAUGUCUGGGAAACUGCCUGAUGGAGGGGGAUAACUACUGGAAACGGUAGCUAAUACCGCAUACCAUCGGAUGUGCCCAGAUGGGAUUAGCUAGUAGGUGGUGUAACGACUCACCUAGGCGACGAUCCCUAGCUGGUCUGAGAGUAUGACAGGCCGCACGGGAAGUGAGACAAGGUCCAGACGCCUUCGGGAGGCAGCAGUGGGAAAUAUUUCAAAAUGGGCGCAAGCCUGAUGCAGCAGUGCAGCGUGUAUGAAGAAGGACUUCGGGUUGUAAAGUGAUUUCAGCGGGGAGGCGUUACCCGCAGAGGAAGCACCGGCUAACUCCGUGCCAGCAGCCGCGGUAAUUC